CUAUUUCGAUUUGAGUUUAAUCCGUCGUUGUUAAGUCUGGUUCCCUUUUAGCCGUGGAGUCCAAGCGAAGGCGAGGACGAUGGAGUUCUUUGUGGAGCUUCUCGUGACUGCUCUCAUAUCCGUGCUCCUCGCCUUCAUCAUCUCCAAGAUCGCCGCCGCUGCCGCCGCCGAUGACGCCGAUCUUCCCGAAGAUAAGUCGGAGGUGGUGCCCCUCGCCGUGGAUGUAGGGCCUCGGCUACAGGAGGCCUCCUACGUCGGCCGUGGGUUCGACUUGGAUCCGAUCGAGGAGGAAACGGAGGAGUGGGAGGAGAGAAGUGGAGUUGCUCUUGCUGAAAAUAAUCGCCUGGAGUUGGUGGUCGCUGAUGCCGAAGAACAGAGAUUGGGUCAAGAGGUUAGUGGGUUUGUCCUAGAGAAGGAAAUCAUAGAGGAGGAAUCCACUAAAAAGAAAGAGGACGAUGAAGCGGAGAUCAGGAUGAUUGUUGAUGGCUUAGUCAAGCAAGAAGAAAGAUUCGACAAGGAUGAAGCCAAUGUAGGAGGAGCAGUGGAGAAAGUUGUGGAAUUGGGUGGGGAAUACGCAGCAGAAGUGGAAGAUGUGAAGGUUUUGAAUGAGGAGAAGGGAACAUCAUUUCUUGAUGGGGAGGAUGAUUGGGAGGGGAUAGAAAGGAGCGAGCUUGAGAAAUUAUUCGGAGAAGCGACUGAGUUUGUUCAUAUCAAGAAAGGAGGGGAUGCAGUGUUGAAACUGAAUAAUGAGGCGCAGAUGCAGUUGUAUGGGCUGCAAAAAAUUGCCACUGAGGGGCCAUGCAAUGCGCAGCAACCCAUGGCCCUGAGAGUUUCUGCUCGCUCCAAAUGGCAUGCUUGGCAGAGGCUGGGGAACAUGAAUCCGGAGGUUGCUAUGGAACAGUAUGUAUGUCUUCUUACUGAAAAUAUCCCUGGAUGGAUGGCAGAAAGACACAAUGAGGAAACCAAAGGUUGUGAUGGUAACAGUCCUCUGGCAGCGGAGGCAUCUGGAACAGGCCUGCAUGAUUCAAAGGCAUAUGUUCACCAUAAAUCCGAAACUGAAAGGUUACCAACAGACUCUUCUUCCAUUCGAGGUGCCACUCACAAUGUAGAUACUGGCCCCUAACUUUUCAAACAAGGACUAGCAAAAAUAGUCCUUCUCAAUCUCCUCUCGCCCAGAGUGACAUUCUGAAGUUAUAUCACUAUUCUUGUGUGGCAUCCCAGAUUCCAUACCCUGUAUAUAUCGACAGCAAAGGUGUAUUAAUGGAACAUGUAUCAAGCAUGCCGAGGCUGCUCUCCCUUCUUCGACUCGAUCGAGAAACAAGAUUGGGCAUGAUUCCAGUUUCUCUAGGAGCCAUGUGACUGAUACCCAUCCUCAAGCAGGCGGUCAGGUAAUAAGCCAUUGUAAUGAGGUGGUUAUAGUGGUUUAGUCAUCUGUCAGUCUUAAUGAAAGCAAUGUAGUGAAAACGGUAGUUAAUGGCAAACGAUUCUUGUUAAGUUUGUCCAAACGCAGUACCACACAGCUACUGCUUGAUACCCUUA